rnacentral:rRNA from 1 species
UACAGAGGGUGCGAGCGUUGUCCGGAAUCAUUGGGCGUAAAGGGUGCGUAGGCGGCGCGGUAAGUCGGGUGUGAAAUCUCGGGGCUUAACUCCGAAACUGCAUUCGAUACUGCCGUGCUUGAGGACUGGAGAGGAGACUGGAAUUUACGGUGUAGCGGUGAAAUGCGUAGAUAUCGUAAGGAAGACCAGUGGCGAAGGCGGGUCUCUGGACAGUUCCUGACGCUGAGGCACGAAGGCCAGGGGAGCAAACGGG